ACGAACGCUGGCGGCGUGCUUCACACAUGCAAGUCGAACGGAAAGGCCCUGCUUUUGUGGGGUGCUCGAGUGGCGAACGGGGGAGUAACACGUGAGUAACCUGCCCUUGACUUUGGGAUAACUUCAGGAAACUGGGGCUAAUACCGGAUAGGAGCUCCUGCUGCAUGGUGGGGGUUGGAAAGGUUCGGCGGUUGGGGAUGGACUCGCGGCUUAUCAGCUUGGUGGUGGGGUAGUGGCUUACCAAGGCUUUGACGGGUAGCCGGCCUGAGAGGGUGACCGGCCACAUUGGGACUGAGAUACGGCCCAGACUCCUACGGGAGGCAGCAGUGGGGAAUAUUGCACAAUGGGCGGAAGCCUGAUGCAGCAACGCCGCGUGCGGGAUGACGGCCUUCGGGUUGUAAACCGCUUUCGCCUGUGACGAAGCGUGAGUGACGGUAAUGGGUAAAGAAGCACCGGCUAACUACGUG
rnacentral:rRNA from 1 species